AUACGUCUACACGCAUCGGCGUAC
rnacentral:siRNA from 1 species